GGGAUGCUGUUGACCAUAGAGACGGGAGGUUCUAGGCAACUCAGAGGUCGUAGCAGCAAACCCCGAGAGAGGAUGUAUAAGGAAUACCAAGCCUUUCCCAGCAAAAAGCGGGAAGGGGCCCAGGCCCCGGGAGUCCCUCACUGAAGGACGACUCACAGAAAUAAAAUCCACACGCAUCUGGAGAUCAGCAGUCUCCGGGCUGGGUGCACGAGUCUUCCCUGCUUCCGCCUCGUCAGGCCUGUUCACCUUGGGUUCACACAGCCAUUUACCAGACCUUUUAGUCCCCACGUCGCCGGAGAGACCUUUUAGUCCCCACGUCGCCGGAGAGAUCGAGCGUCCCAUCCCCACGAGUCACGCCGCGAGCACAAAAGGUUACAUUAAUGAUGGGCAGUGCGCAGCAAGACAGUCAAAAGACUGUCCGAGGGAAAGGUAGGCCACUGGUUAGGAACCCUUGCUGUCUCUGCUCGCAAGGUCCCAGCGAAUAAGAGCAGUGAAAACCUACAGGUUUGGUGAAUAGAAACCCAUAACAGAGACCUAUAGACCACACAGCAUAAGGACUUUACCUCUUUUCUUCAUGGAUUCAUUCCUUCAUGGUUUUUGAGACAGGGCUUCUUUAUGUAGCCUAGGCUGGCUUCCAAUACAUAAUCGAUUUGCACCGUACUCCAGUUUACUGGUACUACUAUGAGCAUCCAUCACCACACUUGCUCAAUUAAUGUUUUUUCUUUAUGAUAAACAAUAUGAACACAUUUUCUAUUACCCAUUUUAACAGAUGGGACCUGAGGCAUUAAACUCACAAGUUAGAGUCGGUGGACGGAAUUCCAUCAGUUGACCUCUAGACGCCCCCUUUUUUGGCUGUAGAAUUGUAUUAUCUAUGGGGAUAAGGCUGUUUAGGUUGGGUAACAUACCAUGGAGGAUGUGAUGGGAGUUUUGUCUUUCCUCCUCCUCUUCCUCUUUUUUUUCUUUUUGAAAUCUUCUCAACAGAGGAAUCUUUAGACUUUUUCCUUAUGAGAUAUAGAUAGAUAGAUAGAUAGAUACAGUCAGGUGUGAGCUACCCUGCCUGGGCGCAGUGACCCUAUCUGCAAAAGCAUCUGGCAUUCUCAAAAGCUGACCCAUGUCUCCAGUUCCAAGGGUUACGUUUUAAAAUUUGGCCAGUUGGUCGUUAGUGAAACUAGGAGACAGGUCUCCUGAACAGGAAUGAGAAUGUGGGAGUGGAGUAAGGGUGGGGAUGAGGAAAGAUUCUAGAACUCUCUGAAGGUUAAAAUCCUCAUCAUGUGGAUGUAGAUAGAGAGGAAGAAUUUGUGAAGAUGAAGACAAGAAUAGACAAAGAAGAGAGGUUGAAUAUUGUUUCUAAAUUUCCAGUUUAAAAAGUUGAGUAGGUGAGUAGGUGUGUUUUCUAAGUUGUAGAUUUCAGAAAGAGGUUUUCAAGGUAGGUUCCAAGGGUAGUAGAUAGAGUUCUUGCAGAGCGCUGGACUAGCUUGGGUUGAAUCCUCUGUACUUAAAAAGAGUAGCCUAUGAGUCUGAUUGGAGAAAUGGUUAAUCUGAGACGUUCCCUAAGACAUUUAUUUGGUGAAACAAACAGUGCUUGUUUCAGAAAUGGAGCCCCCAUGUAUGUCACCUGGCUAGAACCAGUAUAGUAAUUUCUCAUCAAUUUGUCUUAAGUCUUCAGAGUCAUUUAUGUUGUAAUAGGCCAAUGCUAAGGGAAGAAAGAGACCUUAGCUGUGAGGAAGACCCCUUCAAGCACUGGGUGCCAGUGUAAACCAUCACCUGGAAACAACUGAUGGAGCCCUGGAAAGAUAAGAGGUUGUAAGGGUUCCUACCUUUUGGUAGCAGUAAGAGUUAGGCUUACAAACCCAUUCUUACUAGACCAGAAUUACUAUUAGAACUCAGGCACGUGUUCUAAUGAGGUUUUAAUCAUUAUUAUGUUAUUUUUUGGCCCCUAUAAUAGAAUAAAAUGUUUUGUUUGGAGAGGUCAUAGUACAACGACAGGUGUCCCACUAGAAAAUAAAAUGUUAAAGAACAGACAAAAUAGGCUUACACUAGAAAAUCAGAACCAAAGUGUGAGGGCUGUUGUCUCCUGCUGUGUCAGCUUUCUGUAACAGCUUCUGGCGGUGGAAUUCAGUUGUUGCCACAGAGCCUGUUGGCUUCCAAGAAGACUUUUUUUGUAAUAACUUUUAAAUAUAGUUUAAUAAUUCCAUGACCUGUUCAUUUUAAACCCUGAAAGUCGAGCAAGAAAUAAUUAGAAGAUACAUUAAAUAGGAACAGACCCAUCUUUUUCAUGCUUCAGAGAAGAACAUUAUAUAAAGAAGAAUACUCAGAAGGAUGGAGAUCAGAGACGAGAACUGAAAGAAGAAAGGCCCAAAGGCAAUAGAAAAGCUACCAGGUCACAGACACAGACGGGUGUUAGUGCAGAGUCUUCUUGGAGUUAGGCUAGAAAGAUGGAAACUGAGUCAGGUGGCUCUGAAAUGGGCAAGAGUUACUGGACAAGGAAGGUGUUCCAGCUAACUUUUCCUAUAGGAGGUGACUAUAUGCACUAAUGAUGUAUAUACUAGGUCACAUCCUCUUAGUGCUCUUUCUCUGAUUGUCAUUUAGAUUUUGAAUAACCUUAAACUCAUUGUCAGAAUUACUUAAGGAUUUAUCUCAUCCAGAAGGGUCCUAACAUCUAACAUUUAAUUUCAUUGAAAUAGUUUUAUUAUAAUCCCACACCAACUAAAUGAUCACCGUUUAAUGCUUUAAAUCUUAGUUUUUAAAAUGAACCAUCCUCAGGUCUCUUAAUCUAAGAUACAAGUUGACAGCUAAGUUCUAGCCCCAUGCUCAGCUAAGAUUCUUAAAUUGUUAGGGCUGUGAUUUGGAAAGGCGGUUUAGCAAUUAAGAGUAGAAGCCAAUCUUUCAGAUGACAAGGGCUCUAAUCCCAGCACCUACAUGGUGGCUCAUACCUGUCUAGUAUAGGGGAUCCACUGCCCUCUUAGGACCUCCAAGUACACCAUGUGUGUAUAUCGUUAAAUAGGCAUACAUGUAGAUAAAAUACCCAUAUACAAAAAGAUUUUUAAAAAGAU
rnacentral:lncRNA from 1 species